rnacentral:tRNA from 1 species
UAGUUGGUAAAGCGCAACCUUGCCAAGGUUGAGACCGCGGGUUCGAGUCCCGUUGUCCGCU